CAGCUUGUUGGUGAGGUAAUGGCUCACCAAGGCGUCGACGGGUAGCCGGCCUGAGAGGGUGACCGGCCACACUGGGACUGAGACACGGCCCAGACUCCUACGGGAGGCAGCAGUGGGGAAUAUUGCACAAUGGGCGAAAGCCUGAUGCAGCAACGCCGCGUGAGGGAUGACGGCCUUCGGGUUGUAAACCUCUUUUAGCAGGGAAGAAGCGAAAGUGACGGUACCUGCAGAAAAAGCACCGGCUAACUACGUGCCAGCAGCCGCGGUAAUACGUAGGGUGCAAGCGUUAUCCGGAAUUAUUGGGCGUAAAGAGCUCGUAGGCGGUUUGUCGCGUCUGCUGUGAAAUCCGGAGGCUCAACCUCCGGCCUGCAGUGGGUACGGGCAGACUAGAGUGCGGUAGGGGAGAUUGGAAUUCCUGGUGUAGCGGUGGAAUGCGCAGAUAUCAGGAGGAACACCGAUGGCGAAGGCAGAUCUCUGGGCCGUUACUGACGCUGAGGAGCGAAAGGGUGGGGAGCAAACAGGCUUAGAUACCCUGGUAGUCCACCCCGU
rnacentral:rRNA from 1 species